rnacentral:lncRNA from 1 species
UUGAGAAUGAAGCUCAGCUGAAGUUUGAACAGCAUACUGACAUAUACCAACAAGAAUGAAAAUAACUUAACAGCAAUUUUAUAAAUUCACAUCCCCCAGAGCACCACAGAGUAAAGAAAUACUGCAUAUGGGUAACAACUGGUUCUUAGUUACUAAAUCUGAAAGAUCAAAUACAGUUAAUUACAUAAGCUUCUCUUGAGUUUUUCUGGGGGAAUAUACCAGGAGACCAUAAUCAAGCAUCACCAGUGGCAUUUCAUACUGGUCCCAUGGUGUUAAUCCAGGUUUCUGGUAUUGCACUAAACACGAUGAAAAACAGGAGAGAACGGAGAGGGAUCAUGUUUUACCACAAUAUGCAAUUUAUGGGAGAGAUGAAGCGCUCAGGUGGAGAUGACUAGUGUCACGUGGUGUUUUAAGUGGAUACUCACAACGCUGGAACUCACAGCAAUAACAACAAGAGAUCCUCUAUAGACUGUUGAUGUAUAGCCAUGAGAAAAAAAAAAGAAAAAUUUUUGCUCUCAAUGAGCUUGCAUUUAAGCAUCUAUAAAAGGUGAGAUUAAUAUUUACUCAGUGAACUUUGAGUAAAGCAUUGGGUGCUUCAUUAUGUGGAGGAGUCUCAUCCAAUCAGUUGAAGGUGACUGAAUGGAACUAUAGAUCGACCUCACAUAAAUGAGAGGGAAUUCUGCAACAGAUCAUCUUUGCCUUUGAACUGCAGCAUGGACUCCCCUCUGGGUCUCCUGCCUGCCAGCCCACCCUGCAGAGUGCAUUUGCCAGCCUCCACAAUCAGGUAAUUUAUCCUGUGCAUUAACAAGAGGAAGUCUAGAGCCAUGGAAACCAAGUCAGGAAACUUCUCUCUUAUUAUUAGGUCCACUGCAAAUCUAGUUGAGACUGCAAAUCGAGUUUAGUCACCACCUCCGAGGAACUGUGUCCCGCAUUGGCAUUCCUUUGGCAGCUUCCACUUCUCUGUCCCCUUGAGCAAAGUUUUUCUCAGGGGAAGCCGAGCUCCAGACUAUUCAUUUGUCCUGAGGCAGCCACUUGAAACACAAUCAUUUUGUAUUUCUACGAUGUUUUGACCUUUUAUCCAAGUCAGCCCUAUAGAAUGGGCCAGGAGGUUGCUGCCACUGAAUAAGCCACUGUGAUUUUUAGCGUCAAGAAUUUUGCUGUUAACUAUGGCAGAAAAAUAGACAGAGGACAAUAAAAA